rnacentral:misc_RNA from 1 species
AAAGUGCGAAACGUGAUGCGAUCCGCACCGCCUGUGAGUCAUCGAGUCUUUGAACGCACAUGGCACCCGCGAGGGUAUACCUGUUUGAGGGUUGGAUCGACGUGAUAGAUGUGGCUGCGUCUCGCAGAGUCGAGUCAGCUGAAGUCGAUGGCUCGUGGUGGACCCGUGUGACACGGACUCUGGUCCAGAGCACGGAAAUCCCAGCACCCAGGCCAAAUCUCUUAUCAACCUCAAAUCAGGCAAGGCUACCCGCUGAACUUAA